AUUGAACGCUGGCGGCAGGCUUAACACAUGCAAGUCGAGCGAGCGGCGGACGGGUGAGUAAUGUCCGGGAAACUGCCUGAUGGAGGGGGAUAACUACUGGAAACGGUAGCUAAUACCGCAUACCCUCAGAUGUGCCCAGAUGGGAUUAGCUAGUAGGUGGGGUAAUGGCUCACAUAGGCGACGAUCCCUAGCUGGUCUGAGAGGAUGACUGGCCACUCUGGAAUGGUGACCCGGUCCAGACUCCUACGGGAGGCAGCAGUGGGGAAUAUUGCACAAUGGGAUCAAGCCGGAUGCAGCCAUGCCGCGUGUGUGAAGAAGGCCUUCGGGUUGUAAAGCACUUUCAGCGAGGAGGCGUUACUCGCAGAAGAAGCACCGGCUAACUCCGUGCCAGCAGCCGCGGUAAGUC
rnacentral:rRNA from 1 species